rnacentral:rRNA from 1 species
CCUACGGGGUGCAGCAGUGAGGAAUAUUGGUCAAUGGGCUUACGCCUGAACCAGCCAAGUCGCGUGAGGGAAGACUGCCCUAUGGGUUGUAAACCUCUUUUGUCAGGGAGCAACGCCGGCCACGUGUAGCCGGACUGAGAGUACCUGAAGAAAAAGCAUCGGCUAACUCCGUGCCAGCAUCGGCGGUAUUACGGAGAGUGCGAGCGUUAUCCGGAUUUAUUGGGUUUAAAGGGUGCGUAGGCUGUGAGGUAAGUCAGCGGUGAAAUGCCGCCGCGCAACGGGGUGAAGUGCCAUUGAUACUGCAUGGCUGGAAUGCGCAUGCCGUGGGAGGAAUGUGUGGUGUAGCGGUGAAAUGCAUAGAUAUCACACAGAACACCGAUUGCGAAGGCAUCUCACGAAUCCGCGAUUGACGCUGAUGCACGAAAGCGUGGGUAUCAAACAGGAUUAGAUACCCGUGUAGUC